rnacentral:rRNA from 1 species
UCCUGGCUCAGAUUGAACGCUGGCGGCAGGCCUAACACAUGCAAGUCGAGCGGUAGAGAGAAGCUUGCUUCUCUUGAGAGCGGCGGACGGGUGAGUAAUGCCUAGGAAUCUGCCUGGUAGUGGGGGAUAACGUCCGGAAACGGACGCUAAUACCGCAUACGUCCUACGGGAGAAAGCAGGGGACCUUCGGGCCUUGCGCUAUCAGAUGAGCCUAGGUCGGAUUAGCUAGUUGGUGAGGUAAUGGCUCACCAAGGCGACGAUCCGUAACUGGUCUGAGAGGAUGAUCAGUCACACUGGAACUGAGACACGGUCCAGACUCCUACGGGAGGCAGCAGUGGGGAAUAUUGGACAAUGGGCGAAAGCCUGAUCCAGCCAUGCCGCGUGUGUGAAGAAGGUCUUCGGAUUGUAAAGCACUUUAAGUUGGGAGGAAGGGUACUUACCUAAUACGUGAGUAUUUUGACGUUACCGACAGAAUAAGCACCGGCUAACUCUGUGCCAGCAGCCGCGGUAACACAGAGGGUGCAAGCGUUAAUCGGAAUUACUGGGCGUAAAGCGCGCGUAGGUGGUUCGUUAAGUUGGAUGUGAAAUCCCCGGGCUCAACCUGGGAACUGCAUCCAAAACUGGCGAGCUAGAGUAUGGUAGAGGGUGGUGGAAUUUCCUGUGUAGCGGUGAAAUGCGUAGAUAUAGGAAGGAACACCAGUGGCGAAGGCGACCACCUGGACUGAUACUGACACUGAGGUGCGAAAGCGUGGGGAGCAAACAGGAUUAGAUACCCUGGUAGUCCACGCCGUAAACGAUGUCAACUAGCCGUUGGGAGCCUUGAGCUCUUAGUGGCGCAGCUAACGCAUUAAGUUGACCGCCUGGGGAGCACGGCCGCAA